GCGUACGCCGGUGACCAAAUCGAUUCCCCUUUUGACCUGCUGCCGCUUGCGACCACAGACGCCUGAGCGUGGGGGUGGGGCACCGUCGUCUGGCAGACCGGCCGCUGUGGCUUGCCGGCGUGGCCGCGUGGGGGGUGGCCGCUGGUCGCUGGCGGGUGGUCGGCUAGGGCUAGCCGCUGUUCCAUCCACUCCUCCACUCCGGCCUCUGCUGCGGACAUCAGGCGACCACAUCGGCGCCCUGUAGUGAGCCGCAAGUGCCGAGUGAGCAUUCUCAACUUUGAGGAUCAUUAAGACAAGGCUGUAGUGAACUGAAUGUUCCAUGGUUAAAUGGCAUCACGGAGAAGUACAACUAUGAGGAUGUUCUUAUGCACUUUAAGGGUGGAAAGAAACGAAAAGAUAAUCUGUAGUGCAGUGUUGUUGUAGUGAACUGAAUGCUUCAUGGUUAAAUAGCAUUUUGGUAUAGUUCCUUUUGUUAUGGAGUAGGUUAUAUAUAUAAUUAAAAUUAGAAAUGUAUUUUGUAAGCUACUUUGGAGAAGAUCAAUAUAAUUGUACAAGUUUCUCGAUA